ensembl:lncRNA
CCCAUUGAUUGAGAGUAGGAGGACACAAAAGACAGCUGAACUCUAAAUGAGAUGCAUGUUUUAAACAGAAGUUGUUUGUGGGUUCUACAGCUGUACAAAGACAGGCAUAGUCAGUAAAUGGGUUCAUACGUGUUUCAAUUUAAUGAUAGUAGUAAUUACAGUAUAUGGGUAUGUUUAGAAUCUAUUUACAUAUAACAUUAAUUCCUAAUUUAAUUUAAUUAUAUUCACAGAUUGUAUUAAAGGACUCUCGUCCUGUAAUACUGUCACAGAGCAGUUGUUCUAGUGUUGCUGGGACAGCACUGUGCAACCACAUUGUUGCACUACUCUACCAAACAGCCCACUAUUCACAGCUUGGCAUCAGUGCAGUUCCUCCAGUUCACAGCUGUACUGAAAUGAAGCAGAGCUGGCACAAACCUAGAACAAUGGGAGUCAAGCCUGGUCCUGUCAAUAGAAUGCUGGUUCUGUCUGCAAGACCAAAAGAGAGGAAGCUUGCUGAGGGGUUAAGCAGUACGCUUUACAAGGGUGUCACCAGUGAGCUGCCUGACCUCUCAGUCCUCCAAGUAGCAGAGGCAUAUAAGGACUUUUCCAGUGCUGUAGCCCCUUUGGUCACCACUAUCGAGAUGUCGCAUGAUGAUCCUUUGGUUGAUUCUGCCUUGCCACUAGUUGGUAACAGCCUUGACACAUCUGUUUGCCUGUUUGUCCAUAGUGAACAUGGACAACUACACAUGAAGUCACUGGCAGUAAGUUUGGAUAUGGCACACAAGAUAGAGCAUGCCACCAGCCCCGGGUAA